CCUGCUCAAUGAAAUUAAAUAGCCGCUAUUUAGUGCUAAGGUAGCAUAAUCACUUGUCUUUUAAUUUAAGAAUAGAAUGAAGGGACAAACGAGUUAAAAUCUUUAUUUAAUAUUCCUAAUUAAACUUAUUUAAAAGUAAAAAAGCUUUUUUAUUAAGAAAAGACGACAAGACCCUUUAGAACUUCACUAUAAGUUAAGCUGGGGUGGCUAUAGUCUAUUAUCAAAACUAAUCUAAUUUAAAUAAAAACCCAUUAUUAGAAUAUUACAAGUUACCUAAGGGAUAACAGUAUAAUAAUAUUUCAAAGCACUUAUAAUAAAUAUUGAUUAUAACCUCGAUGUUGAAUUACUUUACUAUUAAAAGAAAAUUUUUAAAAAGUAAGUCUGUUCGACUUUUAAAUAAGUACAU
rnacentral:rRNA from 1 species